GACAGAGGGUGCAAACGUUGUUCGGAAUUACUGGGCGUAAAGCGCGUGUAGGCGGCGGCGCAAGUCGGGUGUGAAAGCCCUGGGCUCAACCCAGGAAGUGCAUUCGAUACUGCGUCGCUUGAGUCCCGGAGAGGAUGGUAGAAUUCUCGGUGUAGAGGUGAAAUUCGUAGAUAUCGAGAGGAAUACCGGUGGCGAAGGCGGCCAUCUGGACGGUGACUGACGCUGAGACGCGAAAGCGUGGGGAGCGAACAGG
rnacentral:rRNA from 1 species